rnacentral:RNase_P_RNA from 1 species
ACGGCAGACGAGCCGUGCGGACGGCCGCGUGAGGAUCCUUCGGGACCCUCCCGAGGAACGUCCGGGCUCCACAGGGCAGGGUGGUGGCUAACGGCCACCCGGGGUGAUCCCGCGGGACAGUGCCACAGAAAACAGACCGCCCGGGAUCUCGGUCCCGGGUAAGGGUGAAACGGUGGUGUAAGAGACCACCAGCGCCUGAGGUGACUCAGGCGGCUAGGUAAACCCCACCCGGAGCAAGGUCAAGAGGGGUCGUUCCUGGAACGGGACGGCCCUGCGUGAACGUUCGAGGGCUGCUCGCCCGAGUUCACGGGUAGACCGCACGAGGCCGGCAGCAAUGCCGGUCCUAGAUGGAUGGCCGUCUCCCCGGCCGCCGCGAGGCGACCGGGCGACAGAACCCGGCGGACAGCCCGACUCGUCUGC